CUGUCCAGGGUUUUAAAACGAGACUGGAACACUAUUACAGCACUUUAAUAGAGGUUGGUCUGUCCAGGGUUUUAAAACGAGACUGGAACACUAUUACAGCACUUUAACAGGGGUUGGUCUGUCCAGGGUUUUAAAACGAGACUGGAACACUAUUACAGCACUUUAACAGAGGUUGGUCUGUCCAGGGUUUUAAAACGAGACUGGAACACUAUUACAGCACUUUAACAGAGGUUGGUCUGUCCAGGGUUUUAAAACGAGACUGGAACACUAUUACAGCACUUUAACAGAGGUCGGUCUGUCCAGGGUUUUAAAACGAGACUGGAACACUAUUACAGCACUUUAACAGGGGUUGGUCUGUCCAGGGUUUUAAAACGAGACUGGAACACUAUUACAGCACUUUAACAGAGGUUGGUCUGUCCAGGGUUUUAAAACGAGACUGGAACACUAUUACAGCACUUUAACAGAGGUCGGUCUGUCCAGGGUUUUAAAACGAGACUGGAACACUAUUACAGCACUUUAACAGAGGUUGGUCUGUCCAGGGUUUUAAAACGAGACUGGAACACUAUUACAGCACUUUAACAGAGGUCGGUCUGUCCAGGGUUUUAAAACGAGACUGGAACACUAUUACAGCACUUUAACAGAGGUCGGUCUGUCCAGGGUUUUAAAACGAGACUGGAACACUAUUACAGCACUUUAACAGAGGUCGGUCUGUCCAGGGUUUUAAAACGAGACUGGAACACUAUUACAGC